rnacentral:rRNA from 1 species
CCUACGGGAGGCAGCAGUGAGGAAUAUUGGUCAAUGGUCGGGAGACUGAACCAGCCAAGCCGCGUGAGGGAGGAAGGUACAGAGUAUCGUAAACCUCUUUUGUCAGGGAACAAAGACUGGGACGCGUCCCCGGAUGAGUGUACCUGAAGAAAAAGCAUCGGCUAACUCCGUGCCAGCAGCCGCGGUAAUACGGAGGAUGCGAGCGUUAUCCGGAUUUAUUGGGUUUAAAGGGUGCGCAGGCGGUCUGAUAAGUCAUCGGUCAAAGUCGGGGGCUCAACCCCGGCCCGCCGUUGAAACUGGCAGUCUCGAGUUGGAGAGAAGUAUGCGGAAUGCGCGGUGGAGCGGUGAAAUGCAUAGAUAUAGAGCAGAAAUCCGAUUGCGAAGGCAGCAUGCCGGCUCCACACUGACGCUGAGGCACGAAAGCGUGGGUAUCGAACAGGAUUAGAUACCCCUGGUAGUC